rnacentral:rRNA from 1 species
GUGAAUCAUCGAAUCUUUGAACGCACCUUGCACUCCUUGGUAUUCCGAGGAGUAUGCCUGUUUGAGUGUCAUGAAAUUAUCAACUUCAGUAGUUUUAUUACUAUUGAGGCUUGGAUUUGGAAGUUGUUGGCUCUUUAGUAGUCGGCUCUUCUUAAAUGUAUUAGCUGCUUGUCCGUGAGUUGGCUCAGAGUGUGAUAAGUUAUCUACACUUGGUGGCUGCUUACUUGGAUGUGGCUUCUAAUCAGUCCUUUGUGACGAUUAUUUGUUAAGAUCUGACCUCAAAUCAGGUAGGACUACCCGCUGAACUUAAGCAUAUCAAUAAGCGGAGG